GCGUCUAAUACCGGAUAUGAGCUACGGCCGCAUGGUCGGUAGUUGGAAAGAAUUUCGGUCAGGGAUGAGCUCGCGGCCUAUCAGCUUGUUGGUGAGGUAAUGGCUCACCAAGGCGUCGACGGGUAGCCGGCCUGAGAGGGUGACCGGCCACACUGGGACUGAGACACGGCCCAGACUCCUACGGGAGGCAGCAGUGGGGAAUAUUGCACAAUGGGCGCAAGCCUGAUGCAGCAACGCCGCGUGAGGGAUGACGGCCUUCGGGUUGUAAACCUCUUUUAGCGAGGAAGAAGCGAAAGUGACGGUACUCGCAGAAAAAGCGCCGGCUAACUACGUGCCAGCAGCCGCGGUAAUACGUAGGGCGCAAGCGUUAUCCGGAAUUAUUGGGCGUAAAGAGCUCGUAGGCGGUUUGUCGCGUCUGCUGUGAAAACUGGAGGCUCAACCUCCAGCCUGCAGUGGGUACGGGCAGACUAGAGUGCGGUAGGGGAGAUUGGAAUUCCUGGUGUAGCGGUGGAAUGCGCAGAUAUCAGGAGGAACACCGAUGGCGAAGGCAGAUCUCUGGGCCGUAACUGACGCUGAGGAGCGAAAGGAUGGGGAGCAUACAGGCUUAGAUACCCUGGUAGUCCAUCCCGUAAACGUUGGGAACUAGUUGUGGGGUCCAUUCCACGGAUUCCGUGACGCAGCUAACGCAUUAAGUUCCCCGCCUGGGGAGUACGGCCGCAAGGCUAAAACUCAAAGGAAUUGACGGGGACCCGCACAAGCGGCGGAGC
rnacentral:rRNA from 1 species